rnacentral:rRNA from 1 species
CCUACGGGAGGCAGCAGUGAGGAAUAUUGGUCAAUGGACGAGAGUCUGAACCAGCCAAGUAGCGUGAAGGAUGACUGCCCUAUGGGUUGUAAACUUCUUUUAUAUGGGAAUAAAAUGUUCCACGUGUGGGAUUUUGUAUGUACCAUAUGAAUAAGGAUCGGCUAACUCCGUGCCAGCAGCCGCGGUAAUACGGAGGAUCCGAGCGUUAUCCGGAUUUAUUGGGUUUAAAGGGAACGUAGGUGGAUUGUUAAGUCAGUUGUGAAAGUUUGCGGCUCAACCGUAGAAUUGCAGUUGAAACUGGCAGUCUUGAGUGCAGUAGAGGGGGGCGGAAUUCGGGGUGUAGCGGUGAAAUGCUUAGAUAUCACGAAGAACUCCGAUUGCGAAGGCAGUUCACUGGACUGCAACUGACGCUGAGGCUCGAAAGUGUGGGUAUCAAACAGGAUUAGAUACCCCAGUAGUC